CCUACGGGCGGCAGCAGUGGGGAAUAUUGGACAAUGGGCGAAAGCCUGAUCCAGCCAUGCCGCGUGUGUGAAGAAGGCCUUCGGGUUGUAAAGCACUUUCAGUGGGGAAGAAAGCCUUGGGGCUAAUACCCUCGAGGAAGGACAUCACCCACAGAAGAAGCACCGGCUAACUCCGUGCCAGCAGCCGCGGUAAUACGGAGGGUGCGUGCGUUAAUCGGAAUUACUGGGCGUAAAGCGCGCGUAGGCGGUCUGAUAAGCCGGUUGUGAAAGCCCCGGGCUCAACCUGGGAACGGCAUCCGGAACUGUCAGGCUAGAGUGCAGGAGAGGAAGGUAGAAUUCCCGGUGUAGCGGUGAAAUGCGUAGAGAUCGGGAGGAAUACCAGUGGCGAAGGCGGCCUUCUGGACUGACACUGACGCUGAGGUGCGAAAGCGUGGGUAGCAAACAGGAUUAGAUACCCGGGUAGUC
rnacentral:rRNA from 1 species